AUGGCAUCGUUAAGUUCAUCAAAAAGUCCCUUCCCUUGUUCCCCUCUGCGGUUUCCAUCCUCUGCCCAGCCGCUCUCAUGGAAACGAAGGGUGAUGUUCAGGUGUGAUGAGCUGCAGACUGGCGUCACUGGUGAUAUCAGAGGUGAAGUUGUGGUUGGCCGGUCAUGGCACUUCACAGAGAGGACUUCCAGAUUCUGGCUGAUGCCAAAUUCAGAGUAAGAUGAAUAUCUGGACUGGACUGCAUUUUGAAGAUGUCACCUUGGACUUGGGGUUACAUUUUUCAUUAUUUUUAUGGACUAAACAAGGACUGUAAUUACUUGCAGCUCUACAUAUUGUUCUUCAAAUUCUUAAACCAUUCUGAUUUGUUCCCUUGAGCUUGUUUUAUAACCGGCAUUGAUUAUAAUAGCUACAAGCCAUCAUCCCUGUCUCCUGUGGUAUUCACAUUUCUGGCCCUUGCUGUAAUUAAAAAACAGAAUACAAUCGGCUGCCUUCAUCAGAUCAGAGCGGAUCUCGACUUUGCACACAAGCUUCUUUCCUCUCGCAAUAACACUCUGUCCGACUGAAAUUUCCCAACCACACGCAACCCGGGCCGGCAGCAGUCAUUGUUGAGGGCGAGCUUGCGAUCCUUGAAAGCCACAGAGAGUGCGCCUGGCAGAGAGGCCCCGACACCCAGCCCAAGAAUGCAAGGUGCAAGAGCAGCAAUUUCCCCCCUUUCGCCGGCUGUCUUAACACGCCACACACAGAGGCCAUCAUUAUGGCUGGAGCACACUCCCACUAAGAGCCCGGGUCCAGGUAGAGCUGCAGCAGCGUGCGGAAAAAGAGAGAUGGAAUGAAGAACAAGCUGGAUGUUGAAGCAGAUUUGGAAAUAAACUGAUAGAUAUUUAGGAUUUCUGACUGUGCAUACUGUGUGGCCUCGGGUAUAUUGCCCAUGAGCUGGAUAAAAGCAGUACAAGUACACUACAGUAUGAAUCCAAUCGUAAUUCAUAAUUCCAUAUUGUUGUGUUUGUCCAGGUGCGUAGCAGCAGUCUACGGGGCUUUGGGG
rnacentral:lncRNA from 15 species